GGUUGAAUAGUGUAAUGGUUAUCACAUCGGAUUUUGAUUCCGGGGAUCUGGGUUCGAUUCCCAGUUCGACCU